rnacentral:misc_RNA from 1 species
UAGUGAACCACACGGUUCCCCCGCUCCUGCGAAACAAAAUGCUCUUUCCAUUCGACGAAACAGUGACUGCUUCCAGUCAUCUUGACAGAAAGGACCACAAAGGAGCUUAUAGAACACCAGAAACCCACUGGUAAUCCUAAUUACAUAACCAAAGAUGCCCAAUGGUAAUGGUAAGAGGUUAAAACCCCACUCAAUGGAUGCCUAAACAGUUACAAUUGCGCAAUUUUCAAACUAAGCUACAAUUUUGCA